rnacentral:rRNA from 1 species
GACGUAGGGUGCAAGCGUUGUCCGGAAUUAUUGGGCGUAAAGAGUUCGUAGGCGGUUACUUAAGUCUGGUGUUAAAGACGGGAGCUCAACUCCCGCAUGGCAUUGGAAACUGGGUGGCUAGAGUGUGGUAGAGGUCUCGGGAAUUCCAGGUGUAGCGGUGAAAUGCGUAGAUAUCUGGAGGAACACCGGUGGCGAAAGCGGGUCUCUGGGCCGAAACUGACGCUGAGGAGCGAAAGCGUGGGGAGCGAACAGG